GCAAAAUCGGAUUCAGAAAGAGCAGCCAAAAAAUUGAAAAAAACUAUGAGGACGAAACGAGUAAAAUUUUAGAAUCGAAUUUAUGAACCAAAACCGUACUUCCAAUUAAUGAAUUCUCUUUGCAAAUGAAAACUCCCGAAGUCCGAAAAGCAAAGAAUCGAAAGAAGAGAAGAAAGAAUCCAAAUCUGAUAAAUUGACUAAAAAGGAGAAGCAGAAGGAAAAGAAAAAGAUCAAUUACAGCGAAAAGAAAAUAUUGAAAAAACUAAGAAAUCAAUGGAAAAAGAGAAGAUAAAAGCAAUUCAAGAAAAGUAACAAAGAAAAUUAAACAGAAAAGUAAAGAGAAAGAACAACCAAAAAAGAAAAUAAGGAAGAUAACUCAAAAAUUCAAAAUAAAAAUGAAUCGCAAAUAAUUGAUUUUGCCCCUUCAUCUGAUGAAAUAUCAGGGCAAAUUGAUGGUAAAAUAAAAUCCAGUACGAACAUGGAGAACACUCGGAAAAGGAAAUUAACCGAAGAAAAGGAAGAGCAACCCUUAGGUAAAACUAAAAAUUCAAACUUUC